ensembl:lncRNA
GCUCUGAGAAUAUGGGAUAUAUACAUCCUGGAGGGUGAGCACGUGCUCCCAGCCAUGGCAUACACGGCCCUCAAGAUCCAUAACAAGCGCCUGCUGAAGAUGCCCCGGGACCACCUCCGGGAGUUCCUGCAGGUGACCCUGAAGCAGGCCUGGUCUCUGAGCGAGGACGCGGUCAUCAGGCAGCUGCGGGCCUCCAUGUGUGAGCUGGGGAAGCUCCAGUGCCUCCUGCCUCCUGAAGCCAAGGCCAUCGAACAGUACAGCAGGCCCCUGGGGCAGGCACGCGUCUCCCAGAUGCACGUUCCUGCCCCCACUGCUCCGAAGGCCAAAAUCACCAUUCAGGACACAGUGGCAGUGUGGGAGCAGACCAGGGGUCCCGCUACCCGUGCAGUGAUGAUCCGUCCUCCAGAAAGCUUUGGCCUCCGCAUCGCCGAGAGGGAAGGCCUGGAGGAGGAGGAGAGCUGGGAAGGCAGCCCAGAGCCCCUCAGCCUGGGCUCCCCUGUGGGGACCGCAGAGUCUCCAGGUGCGGCCAGCCCCACGGAGACCUCGUGGGGGAGGGGAGGCCUGUGCCAGUGCGCCAGUCUCCCUAACCUGAGCGGGCCAGAGCACAGGGAGGACGACUCCUCCGACGCUGGCAGCCGGGAGGGCCUGUGGAUGUGGGCACCUCCACAGGCCUCAGAGCCCCCGGAACCAGGGCCCAUGCAGGCUGUCCCCGCCUGGGGGCCACUGCUGAAGACUCCCCCCUACUGGCAUGGCAGCCCCACGCACUCUGGGGACAGUCAUGGGCUGGAGCCGGCCAGAGCCAGCCCUGGGCUGGGACACCAGGCCCGCGUGCCCUCCCUGGCCAGAGGCCUCCUUACCUCUUAUUCCUUGGGGCACCUGGAUGAUGGGUGCCUCCUAGAAGAGAGGCUGAGUCCAGCAUCUGUCCUGCCCAGGCUGGGCAGCAGCCUUCCGUGUGUCUUCACGGCAUCCUAUACACUUGGUUGAGCGCCCACCCCCCAGGCUCUUCCUGGGGCCAGGACACCCUGACACUGGAAGACAACAGCCGUGCCAGGAGCCACUGUACUCUCCUCCCCGCCCCCUCCCCCACCGCCACCCUCAGGUGGUGCUGAGCCUGUAUUAAAUUGUUCCAUGGAAAGGAGUUUGCUCCAGUUUGUGACCCCGGCGCCCAGCGGCAGCAAGCUUCCCCAUGUUCCUGGAGAGCGUGGGAGGCUCCAAAGCCCCAGCCCCAGGCAGAGACCCACUCAGGACCCUGCAGACAAUGCCUGAGAUUCAGCUGUGCCCUGUGGGGCUGGGUCAGGGUGGGAGAGCAGCAGCCGUGAGUGCCCGUGACCUCUGGGACAGAUCGGCACAAUAGGAACAGCCGUGGUUGGAGGGCCUGUGUCACCUCUGUGCUCUCCCCUAGACCUGGGCGGCCGUGGCUGCAGCAUCCCUGGCUUGACCCCACACGGCUCUCCCACAUGGGAGAGGAUGUGCACUGUGGGCUGGGAGGCGACCAGUGGCCAGCAGUGCAUCUACUGCCCAACUGACCAGGUGUUCGUAGCGUAGGCUGGAGGCACAUUUAAUAGAAUCAAAUGGAUUCUCGGUGGAGGUGAGAGGGACUUGCUCUCGGCUGUGCCUGUGUGUGAGCACCACGGGAGCAGAGCCCUUGGCCCUGGGACUCAGAGAGGUUCUCCAGGAAGGGCUGCCGCAGCGUGCUGGAGGGGCCUGGUCUGUGUGCUGAGCUCAUGUGCUGUGGGCGGGAAGGGCCCUAGCACGCAGGUCACCUUGCUCUCCCACAAGCACCACUGUCAGAGGUGAUCUCUGUGGCCGUGUAGCCACAGCUCUCAGCCGGGCACGCGGGCCAUGGCUCACCUGAAAUGCAGGGGCGGCUCCAGAGCCCUGUAAGGACUGGCGGUGAAUUCGCAGACUCAGCAUUUCCCAGCUCCUGCCCGGCUCCUGUCUCCCAGGACACAGAUGAGGCCCCGCGAUGGCUCUAGAGGUUGAC